GGGGGAGGGGGGAUUAGAGCGGGUGAGCGUCUAGCUUCCUAUCAGGCAGGGAGACCCAGGGACGCAUGAUCGCACCUAUCCUGGCUACAGUGGAGGACUUUCCCCUCCGUGAUGCCCUCAAAACGACCCUGAAAUAGGUGGGUGCCAUUUUAUGGGUGAGGAAACUGAGGCUCAAGGAGGCUACGUGGGAGAAGCCGAAGAUGAGGAAACAAGGCUGAGAGAGGCUGACCCAUAGCCACAUAAUGAGUGUUAGAAAUGUGAUGAGAACCCACCAAGGUCUGAGUCUACUGCCCUGGCAAGAAUCUAGUCCACGGACCCAUUUCAUUAUACGCAGGUUGACUAAAUGAAUGCAGUAAUCAAGUGACCAUCUAUCUACCAGUGUCUGCCCUCUGGAGCCAUCAGUACUGCUUGGCCACAGAUAUUUUCAUGCAGCUGCCCGUUGUUGGGACUGAGAUGGAGACUCCCCAGCUGGGACCCUGCAUGGAUGUGUCUGGAUUUAAUGGACUGUUUUCUAAUUUGUGAUUCCUUCAUAAAGAACCCCCCUUUCAGGAUAAUUAUAGAGUCCUGUAUUAAUCUAUUAAUUGGGCCUGAUUUCUAUGCCUCAUGUUUCC
ensembl:lncRNA